GUAUAUAUAUGUUUAUAGGUUUAUUCGUAUCAACAAAUCUGUGUACGAGUUAAUAACGCACCCUGGGUUCCCUGCAUUUUCAGUGACAGAGAACCAGAUAUAAGAAUGCAGGGAAACAAGCCUUGUUACAAGGUUUGAGGGUCUCUGCUAGAAUCAUGUGGACCCCAGUGUAACACAUCUAUGGAAAGAGAGAAAAUCUCAGCUCAAGGGUCAACAUGUCUUUAUUCCAAGAAAGAGUGUACAUAUGCCAGAAUCAUAUGGACCGCAGACUGGCCCUGGUGAUUCCGUUAAGAAAAAAGAGGAAAAAUCAGUGCUUGUGCUCAUUGGUCAUUGGACAAAGGGUGUAUGCCAGAAUUUUUUGAAGAACAGUCUGAAUCUGACAUGGAAAAAAUGAAGAAAAACAGCCUUCCUGUUUAUAAAUCUACAUUCUGACAAAGGAUCAUUUCCUUGAGAUAGGUGGAACCAACAGUCAAAUCCAGACACCUUUAAGAAAAGUAAAAAUCUGACUCAGGUAAGAAAGAAAUUCAGGAGUUCUUAAAUUGCCCUCAGAGUUCUUGGAUUGCAUCAAACUGCUAAAAGACCUCAACAAAAACAGUGUCUUGAAAAAAAAAAUGAAAAUAUUCAGUGAAAAAAAAAUUAUGAGAGAAAAAGCCACUAAAAAUCUUCAAGCCUUUGAGCUGAAAUCUGGAAGUCAAUCUGUGGACUUUACUGGUAUGUCUUACUAAUUAAGUCAUCAUUUGUGUAUAAUAAAUACACUAAACUGUAAACACUUGUUAAAAUGUAUAUAAUUUUUAGAUAUAAUUUGUAGCUCACAGACAUCAAUAGUUUCAUGUAAUUUAAGUGAUAAUGAAAAUUUCCUGUUGUCUGGCUAGAUUAGAAAUUAUAUAUUAUUGUCCAAUUUUGGAUAUUGUGAAAUAAUUCAUUUAGUAAAAUUGGGUAUGCAUACAUGUGUGUACACUUACAUGUAAAUUAAUUGUUAUGGCAAAUUUAAUCUAUCAUUAAGUUGAAUGUUGACUAAUGUUUUUCAUCAAAAUUGUUUACACUGAAUUGUUUGUGGAUUUUUCCAUUUGCCCAAUCAUGUCAAGGAGCACAUGGCAGAAAAUGCUUUCUCCUCCAUAGCACUUGGUGUUUUUAGAGGUCUGUGUUUGCUCUGCUACAAUUUUGUAUUGUUUCAAUGGACUUUAAAGCUUGAUCACUUUUGGUAAUCUUCAUAUUUUAUAUACUAUUAGAGUACUUGAAGAGAACUGUAAAGAUUUAACAUACAGUAUAAUGCAUGUAUAUUGCACUUUAAGUAGAGUGUAUGUGGUUUAGAAAUGUAAUUCAUCUCAUAGUGCAUUGAAUUUGUUGAAAAUUAGAAACUUUGUUGAAAUUGUUUUAGAAUAAUGUUAGAUUGCAGAUUUUUUUAAAUCAUGCAAGUAAGAUAUUGCUAAAUAUUCUUAAGCUUUUCUGGACAGUCUAGAUGAGUUCUUGCUAUAUACCUAGCAUUGUCAUCCCAGUUAAAAUUUAAGGAGCAAGGUUUAUUCCUAAGCUCUAACUGGACAAACUUGCAUGGAUUAAAGCACAUUAACAGAUUUACUUCAGAUGCUUGACCUGAUCAACAUUUUCUUCAUGUGUUUUUUGUUUUUGUUUGUUUGUUGUUUAACAUCCCUCUCAAGAAUUUUUCAUCCAUAUGGAGAUGCCACUACUUACUGGUGGAGAGCUGCAAAAUUUGACCUAUACUUAGCACUCAGGGUCAUUGAGCAAUAAGGGAUCUUUUUUGUGCCCACAUCAACUGCGAGGUGGGACCUCGGUUUAUACGGUCGAAUCUGAAGGACUGGUCCCCACAUCCCCAGUGGAUCUGAACCUGAGACUUAAGGAUUAAAUCCUUACUUGCGACUCUAGAUUACACACUCUAGCCUUUGCGCCACA